AAUGAACGUUGGCGGCGUGGAUUAGGCAUGCAAGUCGAGCGCGAUACCUCCUUCGGGAGGUGGAAAGCGGCGAAAGGGAGAGGAACACGUGGAUUAUCUACCCCUGGACCCAGGAUAGCUGCGGGAAACUGCAGGUAAUACUGGAUAACGUCUCCGGACCAAAGGUGUGAUUCCGUCCAGGGAGGAGUUCGCGUCCUAUUAGCUUGUUGGUAGGGUAACGGCCUACCAAGGCGAUGAUGGGUACCGGGUGUGAGAGCAUGGCCCGGCUCACUGGGACUGAGACACUGCCCAGACACCUACGGGAGGCAG
rnacentral:rRNA from 1 species